CGCAACACCGGGAUUCGAGCCCGGGACCUUUCGCGCCCAAAGCGAGAAUCAUACCCCUAGACCAUCCGGCCGA